rnacentral:misc_RNA from 1 species
AAGUCGUAACAAGGUUUCCGUAGGUGAACCUGCGGAAGGAUCAUUACCAAGAACCAUACAGAAAAGGGGAGGCAUUAGGGGACCGACAGGGCUAGUAGCUUAUACGUUGUUGAACGUCCAGUAUGGACCCGAAGCCUCCCCCAUCUAAACCCUCUGCGUACCCGUCCCUUCUUGCUUCCCCCGGCAUCUCGUCGGGGGAGGUAACAACCAAAACUCUAUGUGAAUCAAACAGCCGUCAGAAUUAUAAAACAAAGCAAAAAGUUAAAA